AAUAUCAAAGGUGAGCCAGUACAGGAUGGACCCGCGUCUGAUUAGCUAGUUGGUAAGGUAACGGCUUACCAAGGCGACGAUCAGUAGCCGACCUGAGAGGGUGAUCGGCCACAUUGGAACUGAGACACGGUCCAAACUCCUACGGGAGGCAGCAGUGGGGAAUAUUGCACAAUGGGCGAAAGCCUGAUGCAGCAACGCCGCGUGAGUGAUGAAGGCCUUCGGGUCGUAAAACUCUGUCCUCAAGGAAGAUAAUGACGGUACUUGAGGAGGAAGCCCCGGCUAACUACGUGCCAGCAGCCGCGGUAAUACGUAGGGGGCUAGCGUUAUCCGGAUUUACUGGGCGUAAAGGGUGCGUAGGCGGUCUUUCAAGUCAGGAGUGAAAGGCUACGGCUCAACCGUAGUAAGCUCUUGAAACUGGGAGACUUGAGUGCAGGAGAGGAGAGUGGAAUUCCUAGUGUAGCGGUGAAAUGCGUAGAUAUUAGGAGGAACACCAGUUGCGAAGGCGGCUCUCUGGACUGUAACUGACGCUGAGGCACGAAAGCGUGGGGAGCAAACAGGAUUAGAU
rnacentral:rRNA from 1 species